AUGCCCCAAAAUCCACCUUAGACGGAAAAGUUAAUUUUUGGUGCAGUAAAUCGCUGAAAUUAGGGUUUUCGGCGAAUAAUUCGAAAUAAAUAACAAAAUAAAUUUUGAUAAUUCAAUAAAUCAUGGAAUACUGAAAUAUAAGUCUUAAAUAAGUGUUAGAAAGGAUAUGUGAGCAAAGAAUUGAGGUUUAAUGAGUUUUAGUACGUUUUUGAGAAAAGUCGUCGAUUAGGGUUUUUCGACGAAUUUGCCGAGAAAUAUUAGGAAUUUCCAUUGGAAAAUAAUUUAUAUGGAAUCUAGAGAUCAAAAUAAGUGUAAUGUGAGUAAGAUUGAGCAAGAAAUUAGAAUUAAAUCGGUGCUCGUAUAGGAAACGCGAUAGAAGGGCAUAAUGGUCUUUCUAAAUGAAUUAAACUAACAUAAUGUCCUAUAUAAAAAGUGACGUUUUUUUUAAGUAUAUUAGGCAUGAGAUGAAUUCAAUUUUUUUUAAGUGUGAAGCAUAAAGAGAAUUCUAGAGAAAUUAUAUAACAAGUGGCUUAAUAAAAAGGUGCCAAAUGGCAAAACUAUUGCCAUACAUUACAAUAAUUGAUGAAGACUAAAUUAAAUACCAAAAACUAUCUUCUUCUUCCUAUUUUUUUCUAAGAAAAACCGUCCACCAUGGGAGAGGAAAAGUCUUGAGGUUCUCAAAUAAGUCUCACCCCGAUUUUCUGUCGAACCGUCGAUUUAAUCGUGUAAACGUUAUGAAACCAACUACACCCAAAUGUAGCAAAUGAAAGGAAAAAGGAUCGGCGAAAGAAGAAAUGUCGAAUGGAAAGGUUUGGAAAUAUCGUCAUCCAGGUUAAUUGGAUCGGGGAUUCCUUUGGAUAUUUCUUUCGUUUCUUCGCCAGCACUGCAUCCUCGGUGGGUCACUGAUCACUGCGGCGUUUGUGUCCAUUUCUGUUAGAUGUGGCAUGUAUAGUAUUUGAAUAUUUGUAACAGCUUCCGCUGUGUUUGUAAAUAGUGUUGGAACUUUUGCUGAUAGGUUAAUGAAUUAAGUUUGGUUUUUAAUUGACCAUAAUUUAUGGUACCGUAAUUGUGACAUUUCCUAUUCGACCGUUCGCCAAUCGGGUAGGGGGUGUUACAAGUUGGUAUCAGAGCCUAGGUUUAGGUGUUCCUAGGCUCUUGGUGGGUUUGAAGUGUGUUUAGUAACAUGCCACAUAGGGUGUCAGUCGUAUUCGAUAUCAGUGACCUGAUGCAGUGGCUACAGUAUGUCAGUAUAGAAGUUUGUCAAACGAGUAUUUGAUAAAGUAUAAGGUCUAAAGUUUACCAAAGUACGGGACAAGAAUUCCCGUGUGACCGAGAAAAGUGGUUAUAUGGGACUGGCCACCCCAUAUAGCUCGAAUCUCGGUAGCGUCAUUUUGGAUGAAAAAAAAAAGCUAUAAGAAUGGUGAGUUGGAAGAAGUAGAAAAUGCUAACAAAUGAAUUUACGUAAAAAGUUGUGAAAAGAAAAAAAAAAAGAAAAGAUACAAGAAGAUGAAAAUGAAAAUGAGCUAAGGUUGGAAGGAAAAUGAUGUAUAUGAAUGUUAUAAAACAAUGUGUGAUUCUAUGUGAAUUGUAAGAUAAUAUAUGAUGUAAUGUAAUUAUCUGAAAUGAAGUACAUCGGUCUUCAUGGUUAUUGGCGCCCUGAUAAAGGCUAUAUGCGAAAAAUGUGAGGACAUGUGAGUUGUAAAAAUGUGGUGUGAUGAGAGAGUUCGGUCAGGCCUCAUGUGGGGCAUUUCGCUUAGCCCACGUACCCGAGUUUGUUGAUAAGCACAUUUGGGACAACAUUGCGAUAAGGUGUAUGAUAUUAUAUGCAACGAUAUGCGAACUAGAUCAUGUGAUAAAAUGUGUUAUAAUAUGUGGACAUAGAAAACAUAUAUGAUAACCCUGAUAUGUGAUAUAUAGUCUGAUAUGCCUUGAUAUAUAUGGUCCAUGUAAUUAGAUUUUGUUAUAUGCGUUUCUACUGAGUUCUGAUAUUAGUGUUAUGAGUUCGAGAUUUGCUGUUGUGAUGACGAAUAUUGAAAUGUGAAUGUUCGAGGUUAUAGAAUGUUAUGUGAAUAAAAUAGUAUAUGUGCAUGAUUGAAAAUUGAAUGAAUGAUGUGAUUUGAAUAUGUGUGUCCUAAUGAAAGAUACUAAAGAGUGUAAGUAAAAGAGAAGAAAAAUGAAUGUUAUGUGCUAACAAGCACUAAAAUAAAUACUUGUGAUUAUACGGGGUGUAAUAAGUUGGUGAAAGGUGAAUGAACUUAUAUGAGAUAAUAUGAGUAUGUUACUAAUGAUUAUAUGGAAAUUUUUGAAAGGAUAAGAAUGGGAUAUAUCCUUUGUAUUUGAUUUUGAUAAAUCGUAUGGAUAUAUGAUAAGUUUUAUACGACGAAGCGGGCUAUCUGAAUGUGAACAUGUGAAUUGAUUGAUACCUGAUAUGGAUGAAUAUGUGUGCUCUAAAUGAGCUAAGCGUACGUGAAAAUGAAGUGUAUGAAUAUGUGAUGUGAAUGGAAGUAUGAAAUCUAUAUGGAUUAUAUGAGUACUCAGAAUCGGGCAAUAUGAAAUAUGAUGUGAUGUGAUGUGACAGGGAUAUAAGCUAAGUAACUGUACAUGAUAUAAGAAGACAACAGGAAUAAGUUAAAAAUGAACUAGAAUGGCGUACGGGAUAAAUGAGUAAUAAAAAUGGUAGCAUUGUCAUAUGAAUGCGGAUGGGGAAUCUGAAUGUGAAAACGCUGAUUAUGUGAUUUUAUAUGCUAUAUGAUGAACGAUUGUUGGAAUAUGAGCUAUGGAUUUGAAAAUGGAACUUAUGUUGAAAUCUGUCAGAUAAUAAAAUGUAAAGAAGUAUGCGAUACAAUUUGAUAAGUAUGCUUAUAUAUAUUAUUGAAUCUGUGACAUGAUGGAACUAAUAAUCUUAAUAUGAUAUAUUAGGGCGAAAUAUGAAAUUAUGUGACAUUAUAUGUGAAAGGUGGAUUAUGUGAUUUUAAGUACGAUUUUGUGGCUUGAUGCGGAAAAUGAGGAUACGCUACGAAUAGGAAAUGACGUAAUGCCAUGAAAUGACAUAAGAGAAACCAUAGCGCUUCAGGAGUACGGAAAUCUGAUGGAAUUUCGAGGACGAAAUUCUUUUUAGGGGGGAUGAGUUGUAAUGCCCCAAAAUCCACCUUAGACGGAAAAGUUAAUUUUUGGUGCAGUAAAUCGCUGAAAUUAGGGUUUUCGGCGAAUAAUUCGAAAUAAAUAACAAAAUAAAUUUUGAUAAUUCAAUAAAUCAUGGAAUACUGAAAUAUAAGUCUUAAAUAAGUGUUAGAAAGGAUAUGUGAGCAAAGAAUUGAGGUUUAAUGAGUUUUAGUACGUUUUUGAGAAAAGUCGUCGAUUAGGGUUUUUCGACGAAUUUGCCGAGAAAUAUUAGGAAUUUCCAUUGGAAAAUAAUUUAUAUGGAAUCUAGAGAUCAAAAUAAGUGUAAUGUGAGUAAGAUUGAGCAAGAAAUUAGAAUUAAAUCGGUGCUCGUAUAGGAAACGCGAUAGAAGGGCAUAAUGGUCUUUCUAAAUGAAUUAAACUAACAUAAUGUCCUAUAUAAAAAGUGACGUUUUUUUUAAGUAUAUUAGGCAUGAGAUGAAUUCAAUUUUUUUUAAGUGUGAAGCAUAAAGAGAAUUCUAGAGAAAUUAUAUAACAAGUGGCUUAAUAAAAAGGUGCCAAAUGGCAAAACUAUUGCCAUACAUUACAAUAAUUGAUGAAGACUAAAUUAAAUACCAAAAACUAUCUUCUUCUUCCUAUUUUUUUCUAAGAAAAACCGUCCACCAUGGGAGAGGAAAAGUCUUGAGGUUCUCAAAUAAGUCUCACCCCGAUUUUCUGUCGAACCGUCGAUUUAAUCGUGUAAACGUUAUGAAACCAACUACACCCAAAUGUAGCAAAUGAAAGGAAAAAGGAUCGGCGAAAGAAGAAAUGUCGAAUGGAAAGGUUUGGAAAUAUCGUCAUCCAGGUUAAUUGGAUCGGGGAUUCCUUUGGAUAUUUCUUUCGUUUCUUCGCCAGCACUGCAUCCUCGGUGGGUCACUGAUCACUGCGGCGUUUGUGUCCAUUUCUGUUAGAUGUGGCAUGUAUAGUAUUUGAAUAUUUGUAACAGCUUCCGCUGUGUUUGUAAAUAGUGUUGGAACUUUUGCUGAUAGGUUAAUGAAUUAAGUUUGGUUUUUAA